rnacentral:rRNA from 1 species
ACGGGUGAGUAACGCGUGGGAAUCUACCCAUCUCUACGGAACAACUCCGGGAAACUGGAGCUAAUACCGUAUACGUCCUUUUGGAGAAAGAUUUAUCGGAGAUGGAUGAGCCCGCGUUGGAUUAGCUAGUUGGUGGGGUAAUGGCCUACCAAGGCGACGAUCCAUAGCUGGUCUGAGAGGAUGAUCAGCCACACUGGGACUGAGACACGGCCCAGACUCCUACGGGAGGCAGCAGUGGGGAAUAUUGGACAAUGGGCGCAAGCCUGAUCCAGCCAUGCCGCGUGAGUGAUGAAGGCCCUAGGGUUGUAAAGCUCUUUCAACGGUGAAGAUAAUGACGGUAACCGUAGAAGAAGCCCCGGCUAACUUCGUGCCAGCAGCCGCGGUAAUACGAAGGGGGCUAGCGUCGUUCGGAAUUACUGGGCGUAAAGCGCACGUAGGCGGAUACUUAAGUCAGGGGUGAAAUCCCGGGGCUCAACCCCGGAACUGCCUUUGAUACUGGGUAUCUCGAGUCCGGAAGAGGUGAGUGGAAUUCCGAGUGUAGAGGUGAAAUUCGUAGA